rnacentral:rRNA from 1 species
AUUGAACGCUGGCGGCAGGCCUAACACAUGCAAGUCGAGCGGAUGAAGGGAGCUUGCUCCUGGAUUCAGCGGCGGACGGGUGAGUAAUGCCUAGGAAUCUGCCUGGUAGUGGGGGAUAACGUCCGGAAACGGGCGCUAAUACCGCAUACGUCCUGAGGGAGAAAGUGGGGGAUCUUCGGACCUCACGCUAUCAGAUGAGCCUAGGUCGGAUUAGCUAGUUGGUGGGGUAAAGGCCUACCAAGGCGACGAUCCGUAACUGGUCUGAGAGGAUGAUCAGUCACACUGGAACGGAGACACGGUCCAGACUCCUACGGGAGGCAGCAGUGGGGAAUAUUGGACAAUGGGCGAAAGCCUGAUCCAGCCAUGCCGGGUGUGUGAAGAAGGUCUUCGGAUUGUAAAGCACUUUAAGUUGGGAGGAAGGGCAGUAAGUUAAUACCUUGCUGUUUUGACGUUACCAACAGAAUAAGCACCGGCUAACUUCGUG